rnacentral:lncRNA from 10 species
CUCUUCUGGUGCCCUGACACAUCCUAGGACUUUGAUGUUGCUCUCCCAGGAAGUAUGCAGAAUAAUAUUUAUCUCAUAUUGUGGAUGUGGCAAUCAAGACAGAGAGGCUAGAUGCUUUACCUAAAGUCAUCCAACAAAUAUUUGGUAGAACCAGUGCUAGAAUGCAAUAAAUGGAAACAGAGUUUAUUUUUGUGUUUCUUUUCCUAAUACUUG